rnacentral:tRNA from 1 species
GUAAGCAUGGCGGAACUGGUAGACGCUCUAGUUUCAGAAGCUAGUGAAGAAAUUCGUGUGAGUUCGAGUCUCAUUGCUUACACCA